rnacentral:lncRNA from 1 species
CAGCUACGUGCAACCAUAUUUAAAUACAUCAAGGAAAUUAGUGCAUCAAAAUAUGCAAAUCCAGCUUACCAUCUAGCCGCUGCGGGAGUAAUUCCCCCCACCGGUUCUUGGGUAUUUGAUUGCCGUUUUGAAAGCGAACAUUGCCUUGUUUGUUUUUGACGAAGCUCCGAGCGUGUGUGAGCAGUGCGGAUCGGAAACAUGAAGUGAAGAAACCAAGGGUUCUGCCUGGGAAAUCGCCUGUGCAUAAUGAGACGACCUGCUCUGCCAUUCUCAAUGCUCGACGCUGUUGGUUCCAGCGCUAUGCACGCGCUCUCAAUCAAGUCGACGCCAAUUUUCCAGCCCAAUUGAUUGUGCGAGCCGGUUGGAGACGCUGUACUCCCUACUCGUGUAACUCUGCCUCCUCCACAAGUGAACCUUGCUCCCAAACUGCUCGUCUGAUGUGUCACCCAAUAGAAGUGGUCAGACGGGCACACGUAAAGAUUUUUCCCUCCGAAGAGGCUGCAUGCUGUCAUGGACCUACAAGUAGUUUGUCUUGACAAACACACAUGGGGUUGCAUGCAUAGGCUACAACAUUCUAAGAUUAGUGCACAUCAAUUAUUGCUUUCGCCACUUUAAAACCAAACCACAUUUUGCGAAUUUGUAGGCUAUAGUGUGACGCACUUGGACCAAUAUGUACACUGAGGAAUGGCAGCUAUAUGUGACCUAGAUAGGCAUAAGGUGCGGUUCCAAUUUCCAAUCACACUAAUAAUACAUAUUUACAACUUAGUGUUGAGCUACAGGCCGAACAAGGUCUUUAGCAAGAUUUAGAAAAAUGAGAGCUAUUUGAAUUUACACAUUUUUUGGAGACAAAAGCAAUUAGGCUACCUAUUUGUCAUUUGAAUUGCCACGGAUAGCUGUCAAAAUGGACAGCCAUUGAAUACGUGUGGUGGCAUGUAGCCAAUAGCGGCUAAGAGCGUUGGGCCAGUAGGCCUAACCGAAAAGUCGCUGGUUCGAAUCCCCGAGCCGCCUAGGUGCAAAAUCUGGCGAUGUGCCCUUGAGCAAGGCAGUUAACAUAACUGCUCCUGUAAGUCACUCUGGAUAAGAGCGUCUGCUAAAUGACUAAAAUGUAAAAUAUAUUCCAGUAUCAUAUACCUAAGAUGGAGGAAUGUGAUGAUAGAGAAGAAACUGUUAACAUUUAGCAUAUAGAAAAAAUCAUAUAGGCCUGUAUUUCAAAUCUAUAUUUCCGAAGACAAAGCCAUUAUAAUCUUAAUGUGGUCCGUCAAUCAAUUAUCAAAUGCAUAAUGCAUAUUUCUGUCUGACACGUUAGACUUCAUAUUAGAAGUAGAUCAUGAGUAGGCUUAUCUAAAUCACCAGCCUUCCAUAUUGUGGUCAACAUGGACUAUCCUCAUUACGUAUCACAAAUACACGGUCAGCCUAUAGUGGUAAAGAGAGGACAAUCAUUUGUAUCCACUCAUACUAUUUUCAAUCGUAUCCCUUCCAGCUAGAAAAUAUUGCCAAUAUUUGCUAUUUCCAACUGCAUUCAAAUUACAGUAAUGGUCAGGUGUGGCGUUUUCUAUAGAGAUUGCGUUGAUUUUGCUGCUUGUGCUGUCAGUUUUGACCAAAACUCACCCAUGCAACAUAGCAUUUCAUCCUUGUUAUUUAUAUUCAUACAAAUUAUAUAUUUAAUCUCUAGAAAGAAAGACACAUCUAAAGCAUUCGUUUAAAAAAAAAAAAGAAUCAAUCUCACCAUAACGAAACUGGCUUUGAUCAGAGAUAAAUUGGGAUGCUCUGUGUGUGUGUGUGUGUGUGUGUGUGUGUGUGUGUGUGUGUGUGUGUGUGUGAGAGAGAGAGAAAGAGAAAGAGAGAUAGAAAGAGAGAGAGAAAGAGAGAGAGAGAGGGAGGUAGGUUGCGUUUGUGGGAUUUGAUUUGUGAGUCAUAGUUUCAAUGUCGCUGCAACGUUACGUAAACCAGACAAACAAACAUUAAUUUUGUAUUAUUAUUAUUGUUAUUAUUACCACAAGUAUAUAAACAAGUUAUUAUUACUUUGCUACUAUUAGACCCGGGAAUACUACUCUUUAUCAGUAUACUCAACUUUGGAAUUCGACAUUGAUGAACAGAAUAUGUCCAUAGCAUGGACUAGAGAUUAUUUAGCGAAUAUGAAUUAAGAGUUGUAUCUUUGAUAAUGCAGUACGAUAAUACAGUGUUGGUGCGUGUUGAGAUAGAGGUUUGGACUGAGGAUGUGGAUGGGGAUAUAUGGUGUUCCUUCGCUAAUAAAUGGCGACAUCUAGUGGUUCCUGUGGGGAAAUGACGUUACACGAGUUUCUGGAGAAUUUCGAUCUUUUAUUGUUGAGAAAUUAACAAGAUCAUGACAGCAGAAUAUCAUAUAUACCUCAACGUCGGUAAAUAUCGAAAUAACUUAUGAACGAAUUAAUUUGUAUGGAUUGACAACCACACGUAUACUGAUAUAGUGCUCAAUAACACAUCCUUGUGUUUUCCCCCCUUAAAUUGCAAUGAGAUUGCAUAGCCUAUAUCCUCAAACUAAUUAUCAUUCUUCUCAUGUCUGACUUUGACAGGUUUACAGAGCCAUAAUGUUUACAUUAUAUGUUUUUCUAAAUGUAUGUCUCUGUGUUUUCAUAUUAUUGUUAUCAUUAUUCUUAUUAUGCUAUCCUUCGAUUUAAUAUGCUUUGAAUUACGGUCGUGUGACGCAUUUUUAACAUUUCAAUUAAUCGGAAAUGGUAAAUAAUCUGCUUUAAAUAACAACAGUUCACUUCUUUCAGCUAUGCAUUCAACUAGUGUAAUUAUUUUCUUCGAUUCCUUAUUCCUGUAAGAUUUGAAUGAGCUUAGGCUACACAUAAUGAAUCAGCAUUUGUGCAAGCAAAUCCAGAUAUUAAACUUCAGAUCCCCUUUCUCUUGUUAAUCCUAUGAAGAAAAUGCUUAUUUUAGCCCCUGACUUGAGCGGCCAGUUCACCUGCGGUGUUUGCCUAUCCAACAUAUUGCUCUCUCUGCACCUGAGGUUGCACGCGCAGCAACCCCUGUAGCCUCAGCGAAUCCGGGUCACUGCAGUUUUUAUGCAACAUAUAAAGCAUGUGCUUUCAUUAUCGAAUUAGCCUAUAUGCUUUCACUCAGUCUUAAGUAAUGUGAAUCAAACGAGGUUACAUAUAAAAUGUAGGAACAAACUAAAUAGACUAUGUAGCAAUGGAAUUCAAAUAGGCUGAGGCCUAAAACUGUCCUUAUUUUUAAAAUAAAAAAACUCGAUAGCCUAUAUAUAUAUAAAAAUACAAAUAGACAUGCCAAUUGGGGGUGCAAUUGAUAACGAUGGUUUCUGGUAGCAAUCAUUCAUUUUGUGCUAUGUUUUGUCAAAAUAUCGUUUAAGUUUAGUUCUCUGCUUCACGCUGCGCACAGUUUGCGUAAUCCUUUCGCAGUGUAAUGCCUUUUCCCCCGGUUUUGGUUUCACAUUUCCCAUUCACAUCCAUUUUAGAUUGACUUUUUCAGGAUGACAAAGACCAUUCGUUCUACCAGUCAAUGAAUCAACCACAAGCAAAAAUAUGUAUUUCUGAAAUGUCUUGUUGAUAUGAAGUUUUUACAACCAUUUAUGGACAUAUGUUAUUUUUUGUCAUACUGAUAUGUAAAGGGUGGGGAUAGUGUAUCAUUACACCGUUUUCAACCAUCCCACAACCAUCCUACAACCAUUCUCAAUAUGACAAAGCACCUUCAAUGAAUCCAGGCAUGUUUUUAUUUAUUUAUAGACCACUCAGGCUUUUAUGUGCUCUUUAGUAGAGCUCAUACUCUGUGACCCAUUUUUGCAUUAAAUUCGAUGGGGGAAUUACUUUCAGUCUUUCCGAAAUGUGGACAAUUUAACUCAUAUUGUCGGACUGUCUUCUUUGUUGCAUUUUUUUCAUUGCAAAUACUCAGAAUAAAUGUAUGUUAACUGGCAAAAUGUAUCAUUAGGAUUAAUUAUGUUAUUUUAAUGUUAAGUGAGACAAACCUUGGUUGUAAAUGUCAAAUAAAAGUCUGAAUUCUGAGUUCCCAUGAAUCUCAGUGCCAUAAUGUUGUACAAUUGGAACAAAUAAAGCCAGAAAGGCCAUAGCCAUGUCUCAUUGUCUCAAUGUCAUGUCGUCCAUAUUGUGUUAUAUUGUAGAACGUCAAUGACGCAACACAUUCAUUCAGUCAUUAUCUGGUGACG